rnacentral:lncRNA from 1 species
GAAACUUUGAUCGAGAUCACAGGAUUCUUUUCAGGAUGAUCGGAUAUUAUCCAGGCCCUGUUUGGGAGGAGUGUGCUAAAAUUUAGUCCUGCCCUCUCAAAAAGAGUGCUAAACUUUAGCCCUGCCCUCUCAAAAAGAGUGCUAAACUUUAGCCUUUGGGGGUGUUUGGGAGGGGUGCUAAAGUUUAGCACCUGCUAUGCCAAAUGACCCUUUUACCCUUGCGUAGCGUGCACUGUUACUU